rnacentral:rRNA from 1 species
AAAUGGACGUCUAUGUACGAAAUAUCGCAACGAGUUUAAAAUUUACUGAGAAUUGCGAUUUUCCAAACGGAAAACCUAAUUUUGAUAUAAAUCUGUUCUUAAUUUUAAAACAAAUUAAAACAAAAAUAAAUUUAGCAAAUUGAAACAUCUUAGUAGCUAAACCAAAAAUCAACCGAGAUACUGUUAGUAGUGGCGAACGAAUUCAGUAAAAAGCUUAUUCUUUUUAAACGUUAUUUAAUAAUAGCCAAAGAAGGAAACCUAUUUAAAGGUAGCCCUGUAAAAUAACAUUUAAAAAGUCUUGAUACAAAGUAAAAUGACACAAGUCGUGUGUUUUUUGAAUUAUAUGGGACCACCCAUAAAAGCUAAAACUUUUGAUAAUUGAUAGUGAAAACAGUACCGUGAGGGAAUGGUGAAAAAGUAUUUGCGAAUGUGAAAAAGUUUUGAAAUUUAAUGCUAAAUAUCAGUUGAGGCUUUUAAAUUUGAUUUUAAGAGUAACAGCAUACCUUUUGUAUAAGGGAUCAACAAGUUUAUUUUAGUAGCGAGCUUAAUUAAAAAAUAAAGUAGGCAAAAAGAAAUUGAGUUUUAAAAAUUGCUUUUUUAGUUUCUGAAAUAAAACCCGAAACUGUAGUGAUCUAACCAUGAACUGGUUGAAUUUUAAGCGGAAACGCUUUCUGGAGGACCGAACCCGUAUAUGUUGAAAAAUAUUGGGAUGAUUUGUGGUUAGGGGUGAAAGGCUAAUCAAACACAGAGAUAGCUGGUUUUCUGCGAAAUCUAUUUAAGUAGUUCGUUUAAAUUCUUUAUUUUAGGGUAGAGCUCUUUUUAAAUAAUGGGGAUGUAAAGUCUUACUGAAUUUAUUAAAACUUCGAAUUUUAAAAUAAAAGAUAUUUAAGCAGACAGACAUUGGGUGCUAAGGUCCAUUGUCAAAAGGGAAACAGCCCAGAUUAUUAAUUAAGGCCCUUAAAAACAAUUAAGUGAAAAAAUUAUUAAAAAAUUAUAACAACCGAUAGGUAGGCUUGGAAGCAGCCAUCCUUUAAAGAAAGCGUAACAGCUCAUUGGUUUAAUUUUUUUGUAAUAAAAAUGUACAGGGACUCAAAUUGUUUGCCGAAAUAAUAAAUUUAAAAUUCUAAAUGGUAGCAGAACGUCUUGUAAAUUAGAAAAAAAUUGUGAAUACAUAAUUUUUGAAAAAUCAAGAGUGAAAAUGUUGAUAUGAGUAACGUAAAACAAUGUAAAAAACAUUGUCAUCUUAAAUUUAAGGUUUUCAAAAAAAAGGUAAACUUUUUUGAUAAAAAUUAUUCGGUCUCUAAAAAAAAAACGAAAGUUUUAUUUUAAUGAGUAAAAAGUAUAUUUCUUUUAAUUUUUUAAAGUGACAAAAUGUAAAUACUAUUUUUAUUUAAUGGUAAAAAUAAAAGUUUUAUAGCAUUUUCAGGAAAUAGCUUUGAUUUCGUUUUUUUAAACUAAAACCGUACUUAAACCGACACAGGUAAAUAAAUUUAGUAAAUUAAGAUGUUGAGUUAACUGUUGUUGAAGGAACUCGGCAAAAUGACUCCGUAACUUCGGGAUAAGGAGUGGCUUUUUUUGGGCAACCUUUUUAAGCUCACAGAAAAUCGGGAACAGCGACUGUUUAAUAAAAACACAGGUUUCUGCUAAUUUGUAAAAAGAUGUAUAGAAACUGACGCCUGCCCAGUGCUAAAAAACUAACGAAAAAAGUUUUGGCUUUAAUCCUAACUUUUAGUAAACGGCGGCUGUAACUCUGACGGUCCAAAGGUAGCGAAAUUCCUUGGCAUUUAAUUGGUGUCCUGCAUGAAUGGCGUAACGACUGUUCCACUGUCUCCAACACAGGCUCAGUGAAAUUGAAAUAUCUGUGAAGAUGCAGAUUAUUGAAGGCAAGACGGAAAGACCCCGUGCACCUUAACUAUAAUUAUACAUUGUAAUAGAAAAUUUUAUACACAGGAUAUGUGGGAAGUUUACAAAUUCAAUUUAAAAUGUUUAUUUUGGUAAAUAAUUUAAACAAUCAUGAGAUACCACUUUUAAAAUAUUUUUAUUACUAAAUUUUUUAAAAACAUUGUAUAAUGGGUAGUUUGACUGGGGCGGUCACCUCCUAAAAAGUACCGGAGGUGUGCUAAAAGUAAGUUCAUAUUGAAAUAAAUCAAUAUUAUAGAGCAUAAUAGUAUAUACUUGCUUGACUGUAAAAUUGACAAAUUAAACAGGGACGAAAGUCGGUUAUAGUGAUCCGGUGGUUCUGUGUGGAAACGACCAUCGCUCAUCGAAUAAAAGGUACGCCGGGGAUAACAGGCUUAUCACUCCCAAGAGACCAUAUCGACGGAGUGGUUUGGCACCUCGAUGUUGGAUUAUCACAUCCUGGAGCUGAAGUUGGUUCCAAGGGUUUAGCUGUUCGCUAAAGAAAGUGGUACAUGAUCUGAGUUUAGAACGUUGUGAAACAGUUUGGUCCCUAUCUACCUAAAACACGAAAAUUGAAAGAAUUAAACCCUAGUACGAGAGGACCGGGAAAAAUGAAUCUCUGGUGAAUCAAUUGUUUAACCAUAAGCAUCGUUGAGUAGCUAUAUUCAUAAUAGAUAAGUGCUGAAAGCAUCUAAGCACGAAACUAAUCUUAAGACAAAUUUUUAAUAGUUGUAAAAGAUAAUUACAUAGAUAGAUUUGGUGUGUAAUAAUUGUAAAAUUUUUAGCUAACAAAUACUAAACGA